UAAGUUGUAUUUCUGUGCAGCUUUAAAAACUUACACCGUCAGAAGCAGGUACUAGAGAGACUCAGACUGGCAGUCUUACUCCGCUUCUAAGUUACAUGGAGCAGUUUCAUGAAGCAGCUGUAGAGACCUUAGGCAAGGGUGUAGAUAAAGAAUCCAGGCACCUUUAAUUUGGUAUUUUCCACCUGUCUUAGCUAACCUAUAAAGUACAACCUUUGGAAAUUGUUAUUAGGAAAAGUAAGUCAAGAGUUAAACUCCACUGUAGGGUACUUGAGUUACCAGCACACUUCAUGAGCUGAGUUCAGUCUUUAGGACCACAUGUCAGAAGGGGAUAACUGAUUCCAGAAAGCUGCUCUCUGACCUCCAUGUGUGCCCUGUGGCAUGCACAAGCCCAUACACACACAAAUACACGCAUGCAUGCACGUGUGCAAAAUUUAUUUUUAAAUUCAAGUAAGUCUAAGAGGAAAGUGAUGAGAAAAUGAAUCUCUGCUCAGAGUAAAAGCAUGUCUAAGGUACCCAAGCUCUCAGGACAAGCAUGGUGAGAACACAAUGAUGUUAUAGAAGGUCAGCUGCUUUACUGUGUCUGAUGGACCAGGUUUGUGUGGGGUCUUGGAACUUGUAUAUAAAGUGCAUCUCUGGUGAUUUUGAGAUGGUUUUUGUUUGAAAACCACUAAUGUAUCAAAUCUUCUUGACAUUGAGUUUCAGAGUUCUCAGCCCUGGUUACCUGCUAGUUUAGUGGUAACUAAAGCCAGUAAUUCACGCUAAGCCAGUGUUUAUUAUACUGUAGAAUGGGGCCCUCCAUCUUAUGGGCUAGCUAUUAAGCUGUCAGUAAAAGAACAGAGCAUAGUACAAUUUGUGGUAAAUAUUUAAUGUCAUUUCUUAAUUAGAUAUUUGAGGUUUGAUCUUGGAUUAGAGCUUAGUGGUAGUCUAAUAUACACAAGAUCCUGGGUUCCAUCCCCAGAAUUUGGAGGAAAGAGAAUAGGGGGCUUAUUUUACUAUAUACUUUGAUUACCAAAGUCAAAACUAAGAUUAAACAUAAUCUCUAAAACUUUAAGAAUUGAGAUUGGGUAAUUUGUAGCUUUUGAGGCAUGAGCUUGCACUGUAGCCCAGGAUGGCUUUGAACUUGUGGUAGUUCUCAUGCCUUAGCCUUCUGAGUGCAGUGCCGGGAGUAUGAGCCACCAUACCCGGUUUAGGAUUGGAUUAUAGUUCUAUCAAAUAAGACAGUUUCUUCCAACCAUUGCUUUUAACCCUGUCCCAUUCAAAAGAAAACAUAUAUAAAGGAGAAUUAGUGUUCAAGAGGAAAACUUUUAAAGAUUUCUUUAGUUUUGAAUACUUUUGUUUUACCCUAUUAAUUUUUAACCUACUUACUGGUUAUAUUGUGUUUUCUGUGUUAUUCUGUGUUACUGUAAUAAAAGCAACUUAAGGAAAUUUAUUCCAAGAAGGCAAUAGUCUGUCAUGGGGGUGCAUGGCAGAGGGAGUGGGACAUAGCUGGUUCCGUUGCACAUACAAUGGGGGGGGGCAGAGAGGCACCCAGAUCACCUUUCCUGUCAUUUUUAUUCACUUCAGGACUCUAGCGCAUGGGGUAGUGAGAGCCACAUGGGGGUUGAGUGGAUCUCUCUUCUCUUCUCUUCUCUUCUCUUCUCUUCUCUUCUCUUCUCUUCUCUUCUCUUCUCUUCUCUUCUCUUCUCUUGAAACAGUCUCACAGACAUACUCAGAGUUGUGGUCUUACAUGAUUCUGAAUCCAGUCAACAAUGAAACCUAACCAUCAUCAUAAUCAAGAUAAUUUCCAUCUAAACACAAAGUUUCUACAUCUCCCAGUUGAAUCCUUUCUAGCAGUGGGAGAUCAAAUAACAGCAGAGCAUAAAUUCCAAGUUUUCAUUAUGCUAAAGAGUGCUUUCUCAAAAAUGGAAUUUGCUUUUGUCUAUUUCUGUUUUUUUUCUUUGUUCCUCUCAGCGAAGACAAAUGGCACAUAUGGAUCAAGUUCCUUCAGUCCUGCAGGUGUAGACAAAUCCAGGAAUGGGUUUUAGAUGACCGAGCAAGAUGUUUAGAUGUUGCAAGGUGUGCUUGUGACACAGCCAGUGCUUUAUGGCUCUGUCUCGCUUGGUAGAGUGUAAUCCUAAGGACCACAUAUUUUGGAGUUGAAUGCCUGAAAUUUAAGACCCAGAUCAUCCUCAUGGUGGUUGUGUUGCCUUAAAAAUGGUAUUUAACUUUUUAAAAAUUGUUUUUCUCUGUUUAUAAGAUGAGGAUUAUAGCUGCUGGACAAGGUUUUUCUGAGAGUUAAAGUUAGUACAGCAAAACUAAACUGGGUGUGAUAGCUUGUCUUCUGGUCCUAGCUCAGGGAACACUAAGAAGAUCAGGCCAAGCUUGGGUCUCAUCUCUUUAAUCCCAGCACUUGGGAGGCAGAGGUAGGUGGAUCUCUAUUCAUUUGAGGCCAAUUUGGUCCACAUAGAGAGUUCUAGGACAGUUUAGCCUAUAAAGAGAGAUUCUGUCUUAAAGAACAAAUGCAACACAACAAAAUAAAUAAGAAUAUCCUUGUGCCUAGGAGUUUAUGACCAUUGUGGCAAAUGUAGUCAGACUGUGACAUAGAAAGGCAGAAAGGAGAGAGUGCAUGAAUGAGUUAUCCCUUUAGAGCAGUGCCAGUUGCAUGGGUUAUGCAGGACAUUGUUUACACGCUAUGCAAUUGUUAGGUUAUAACUAUUUAAUUUUACUUAAUUUCAUUUUUACUCUCUUUAUCUUCUAGAUCCACAAAGGUAACUUUUUAUUUUAAACUUAAACUUACUUCUAAAAUGGUUAUAUUCACAAGAAGUUAAAAUAUAGUAUAGAAUUGGUUUUCAUCCAAGUUUGCCUAAUGCCAUUAUGUUUUAAAAUGACC
rnacentral:lncRNA from 1 species